rnacentral:rRNA from 1 species
GACGAACGCUGGCGGCGUGCUUAACACAUGCAAGUCGAACGGAAAGGCCCUGCUUUUGUGGGGUGCUCGAGUGGCGACCGGGUGAGUAACACGUGAGUAACCUGCCCUUGACUUUGGGAUAACUUCAGGAAACUGGGGCUAAUACCGGAUAGGAGCUCCUGCUGCAUGGUGGGGGUUGGAAAGUUUCGGCGGUUGGGGAUGGACUCGCGGCUUAUCAGCUUGUUGGUGGGGUAGUGGCUUACCAAGGCUUUGACGGGUAGCCGGCCUGAGAGGGUGACCGGCCACAUUGGGACUGAGAUGCGGCCCAGACUCCUACGGGAGGCAGCAGUGGGGAAUAUUGCACAAUGGGCGGAAGCCUGAUGCAGCAACGCCGCGUGCGGGAUGACGGCCUUCGGGUUGUAUACCGCUUUCGCCUGUGACGAAGCGUGAGUGACGGUAAUGGGUAAAGAAGCACCGGCUAACUACGUG